rnacentral:rRNA from 1 species
UACGUAGGGGGCAAGCGUUGUCCGGAUUUAUUGGGCGUAAAGGGCGCGUAGGCGGCCACCGCAAGUCGACUGUGAAAUCUCCGGGCUUAACCCGGAAAGGUCAGCCGAUACUGCGGGGCUAGAGUGCAGAAGGGGCAACUGGAAUUCUCGGUGUAGCGGUGAAAUGCGUAGAUAUCGAGAGGAACACCUGCGGCGAAGGCGGGUAGCUGGGCCGACACUGACGCUGAGGCGCGAAAGCCAGGGGAGCGAACGGG